rnacentral:lncRNA from 1 species
GCUAGGUUGCAUGGAAAGGGACUAUAGAAAAAGAUAUACAUGGGAAGAGAUAAACUUCGGGAAUGUAUCAAAUGGAGAAUCAGGAAUGGGAAGAGAGUUGGUUUCUAGACGAAUGUUUGGAUUGAAGGGGAAGUGUUGAGAAAUAGGUUCCAAUAGAUUUUUGCCGUCUUAAGAUACAAAGAUAUCCCUGUUAAAGAGGCUUAUAGAGAUAAAGAAGGAGGAAAGGAUUGGCACAUGAAGAUUUAGAGGAAUCUCAAUAAUUGAGAAAUUAAUAAAUAGAAAUCACUGUUG